rnacentral:rRNA from 1 species
UGGGAGGAUAUUUGGCACAAAUGGGGGAAACCCUGAUGCAGCAACGCCGCGUGAGGGAAGAAGGUUUUCGGAUUGUAAACCUCUGUCCUUGGUGAAGAUAAUGACGGUAGCCGAGGAGGAAGCUCCGGCUAACUACGUGCCAGCAGCCGCGGUAAUACGUAGGGAGCAAGCGUUGUCCGGAUUUACUGGGUGUAAAGGGUGCGUAGGCGGCUUAGCAAGUCAGACGUGAAAUGCAGAGGCUUAACUUCUGAACUGCGUUUGAAACUGUUAGGCUUGAGUGAAGCAGAGGUAGGCGGAAUUCCCGGUGUAGCGGUGAAAUGCGUAGAGAUCGGGAGGAACACCAGUGGCGAAGGCGGCCUACUGGGCUUUAACUGACGCUGAGGCACGAAAGCGUGGGUAGCAAACAGGAUUAGAUACCCUGGUAGU